AGCUCUCCGAGUAGUGUGGAUGUUUAUUGGGCCUAAAGCAUCCGUAGCUUGCUAGGCAAGUCCCCUGUUAAAUCCACCGAUUCAAUCGAUGGUUUGCGGGGGAUACUGUUUGGCUAGGGGACGGGAGAGGUCGACGGUAUUUCCGGGGUAGGGGUGAAAUCCUAUAAUCCCGGGAGGACCACCAGUGGCGAAGGCUGUCGACUAGAACGCGCCCGACGGUGAGGGAUGAAAGCUGGGGGAGCGAACCGGAUUAGAUACCCGAGUAGUCC
rnacentral:rRNA from 1 species